rnacentral:tRNA from 1 species
GCCCUGAUAGCUCAGUAGGAUAGAGCGGUCCCCUCCUAAGGGACAGGUCGGCGGUUCGACUCCGCCUUAGGGCGCCA